rnacentral:rRNA from 1 species
UACAGAGGGGGCAAGCGUUGUUCGGAAUUACUGGGCGUAAAGGGCGCGUAGGCGGCCUGUCGCGUCUGCUGUGAAAUCCCGGGGCUUAACCCCGGGCGUGCAGUGGAUACGGGCUGGCUGGAGGCAGGCAGGGGAGAACGGAAUUCCCGGUGUAGCGGUGAAAUGCGCAGAUAUCGGGAGGAACACCGGUGGCGAAGGCGGUUCUCUGGGCCUGUACUGACGCUGAGGAGCGAAAGCGUGGGGAGCGAACAGG